rnacentral:rRNA from 1 species
UACGUAGGGGGCAAGCGUUGUCCGGAAUCAUUGGGCGUAAAGCGCGCGUAGGCGGCCCGGUAAGUCCGUUGUGAAAGUCAAAGGCUCAACCUUUGAAAGCCGAUGGAUACUGCCGGGCUAGAAUCCGGAAGAGGCGAGUGGAAUUCCUGGUGUAGCGGUGGAAUGCGCAGAUAUCAGGAGGAACACCAACAGCGAAGGCAGCUCGCUGGGACGGUAUUGACGCUGAGGCGCGAAAGCGUGGGGAGCGAACAGG